CGAGCCUGAGUAAAAGACAUGUGACAAAAUAGGUUUGCACACACAAUCUGGACAGGGCAAAACAAGAACCAAAACAAACUCCUAAAAUGUCACAAGAAGGGGCGAUAUGAGCAAAGGAAUAUACCUUUACCCAGUCUUCCAUAUCUCCAUCUUCAAUCACUUCUAACACCUCAUGUUCCUCAAUGGUCAACUCAUCUGGUUGAGAAGCCUGCAAUGUAGGAUGGUCAUGGACAAAAUUAAAAAGGUUAGAUAAAGAGCAGAUGUGCGCUGAUCAUAACAAAAACUGAGGAUCAAAAUAUUGAAAUGAUUUUGAAAAACAUACCAAACAUAAAAAUUUAAGUGUUGUAAAACUAUCGUAAUGAGGUGAAGUUUUACUUUAAAAAAUUAAACAAAAUAAAGCCACAGCAAAAACUGGAGAAACGGAAUCCUCAAGAGACAAUCAGGUGCAGUGAACAUAGCACUCUGCUGGAAGCAGGGGACCAGGGUUCCAGCUCCAGCUUGUUUCUAUUGGUUAUUCAAAUUCUUGAUGCCUCCAUUUCUUCAAAAUGACAAUCCUGCCAUUCUGGGGAGGAUGAGGGAGUCAAUGUGGGAUGAAUAAGCUGAGAACCAUGAUGAUCUGUGAAGCACAGGCACAGGAGCAAGCGCUGAGUUAGAACGGCACCCGAGGGCUACCAUGGAAGCGCAGGCCGUGAAAAUGCAGAGAACUAUGUACAUGGAUUGGAUGACAGCUUGAGCAGCGCCUAGAACUGAUCUGGAAUCACUGUGCGAUAAACAAUGGCCAGGAGAAUUAGAGUUGCAGGAAAGAAAAUGGCUGAGAUCGUCCACAAUUUGGAUUUAUUAUGCUCUAACUUAACCGUGGAGAAUGGGCUGAUCCACUUAGAUGCUUUGUACAGGAUGCUAACUGUGAUGGUUUUAUGGUCUCUGACGCAGGAGUUCACUAGCGCUGGCCACCCAGAUACUGCUCCCAAGACUGCAGAAUCUGAGCGCAACCUCUAAGGGGCUCAGCAGAGAGGCUGGAGAGAAACUGUGUGGCUUUGUUUCCUAAAGAGACUUGCCUGUCACAUGUAACAGGGCGGGGCCUGCUAGCAUCUUCUGGUUCUCUGUAACUGAAGCAAUGGCCUAGACCAAGAUGGUGAAAGGCGAAUGGGCUCAGGCGACAUGGUACAAUAUUCUCUCGUGGUGCAGCAGCAGCAGCAAGCUAUGGCUCCCAGUCAGCCACAAUGUCACAAGGGUAAACAAGUAGGCUUCAUGCCUGGUGUGGAGGCCAGUGUAGGGCUUGAACCUAUGACCCUGAUAUCAAGACCUGAGCUGAGAUCAAGAGUGGAUGUUCAACCAACUGAGCCACCCAGAUGCCCCAAAUAUGUCUUACUUUUUAAAGUAAAAAUCUAAAAAAGAGGAAACAAAACAGGCAAAGUUUCUUUGUUUCUAGCUACGUAUAAACAUCUAUUUAGCUACUUUUUCAUAUGUUCAAACAUCCGAAAGGCACAAAUGUUUACACAUUAAAGAUAUAAGAAAUGGAUGGUCAGAAUCAGGUCUCACAAUAGACCGAUUAACUGAAAUAUCAAAUAUCUACAACAUGCUGAACACUGUGCUAGGCUCUUAGAUAUGAAAUGGAGGACAUGGUUUGCUUUGCAAAAGCUCAUACUCUAGAGUGGAGAAGCCAUCACAACUAAAUGCUGAGUGCACAGGGGGUCCUGUGAAUAGGAAGGUCAGAGAAGACUUCCUGGCAUUCAGUGAGUUGCAAAGUAGAGGCCUCCUAUACAGUCCACUUUUACUUUUUAGUGAAUUAAAGUGAUUUCUAUUGAGCACUAAUGUUUAAAACUGACUCUAUUCUUAACUGCUAUUUCCCUAAUAAAAUUCUAUAGAAAUGUGUGUGUGUGGGGGGGAGUGUUCUAAAAGAAUAAGUAGCACAUAUUUCCUGUCAAAUGUAUUGCCUACACUUCAUGAGCCCUUGUAAUAUUCUCAUUAUUUUAUAACUAUUAUUGGAAAUUCUUCCCAGCUGAGUCAGAUAAUCAUGUGACUCAUCUUACAAAUAAUUUCAUCUAUGGUCAGUCAGGUCAAUGACAAAAUAGGCUCAAAUCAUGACCUUUCAAAUCAUCUCAGGCUAUGAUUCCGUUGUUCUCCAAAAAGGCACUGUGUCAUAUAAAAGGUGAGGAUCACAUGCUAAAAACUGCCAUAAAAUGUAAACAUAUCUACACAGAAGAUACUGCUUUCAUACUCUAGUAAAGGUUAUAGAUGUUAAAAAAACCCCACAACUGUGGGCAUUGAAACAAAACAACACAAAACACCCGUAUAUCUAUAAAAACUAAAAUUAAAGCCAGUGUGGGUAGAACACAUUUCCAAAAAUAUAGAAGGAAUGUUAAUAUGCACUGUGCUUUGGCACUGGGAAUCAAUCCAAAACAUUUUAUCUUGGCAACACUGUUUGGUACUAAACAUUCCUUUCUUUCCCCUUUAUUUUGAGUCCAUUGUUUGAGUCUCAUAGAAGGGAAUGAAAGGUUGCAGUGACAGCAAAAGGGGUCAGGGCCAUGUGCUUUUGCAUGGCUCCAGAAGCUUUCCAAAGUAUGUCACUGUGGAACAACUUCUGCCUUUUCCCUCUUCCACCCUCUGUAACCUCGCUGUUACAAUAUUUUCUUGACCCAGCAUUUCUAAAAUCACAUUCUUCCUCUGUUUCUUAACAACUGCUCUCUUAGCCCUUUUCCUUCCUGUCACCUGACAGAACUUCAAUUAAAACUAUUCUUCCCAGCUGUGCUAAUGUUUUUCCUUUCUUAGAUGUUGUAAAAUGCUUACUCUCUUUGCAAGGGCAGAUAAGAAGCAGAUUUCUGGGUUGGUAUUAUUAGCUAUCUCCUUGUACUCAGCAAAACAACCUCUGAAGGGUUUCAUCAACUUUAUGGGACUGUAAUGAACUAGAAAGCAAUACUAGGUCCCUGGGUCUGACAGACUUGAGUUUGAAUGCUGAGUGUGCCAUUUACAGCUGUGUGACCUUGGGCAAAUUACUGAACUUCUCAACUUCAAUGACCUUAUCUUAUAAUGAAGACAAUUACUUCAUAUCAUAAAGAUUAAAUUAGGUGACAUAU